AUAGGAAUCACCUGUGAAUUUUGUAAAAGGCAAGAUUUGGCUCAGAGAAGUGGGCUGGGUCUGAGAUCUUAAACUUCUAACAAGUUCCUUAGUGGUGCUGCG
rnacentral:pre_miRNA from 1 species